AUUGCGAAGGCAGCUUGCUGGACUGUAACUGACGNUGAGGCACGAAAGCGUGGGGAUCAAACAGGAUUAGAUACCCUGGUANNCCACGCNNUAAACGAUGAAUGCUAGCUGUUAGCGAUAUACUGUUAGCGGCACAGAGAAAUCGUUAAGCAUUCCACNUGGGGAGUACGCCGGCAACGGUGAAACUCAAAGGAAUUGACGGGGGCCCGCACAAGCGGAGGAACAUGUGGUUUAAUUCGAUGAUACGCGAGGAACCUUACCUGGGCUUAAAUUGCAGUGGAAUAACGUGGAAACAUGUUAGCCUUCGGGCCGCUGUGAAGGUGCUGCAUGGUUGUCGUCAGCUCGUGCCGUGAGGUGUCGGCUUAAGUGCCAUAACGAGCGCAACCCUCAUCGAUAGUUACUAACAGGUUAAGCUGAGGACUCUAUCGAGACUGCCGACGUAAGUCGUGAGGAAGGUGGGGAUGACGUCAAAUCAGCACGGCCCUUACGUCCAGGGCUACACACGUGUUACAAUGGGGGGUACAAAGGGCAGCUACCUGGCGACAGGAUGCUAAUCUCAAAAACCUCUCUCAGUUCGGAUUGGAGUCUGCAACCCGACUCCAUGAAGCUGGAUUCGCUAGUAAUCGCGCAUCAGCCACGGCGCGGUGAAUACGUUCCCGGGCCUUGUACACACCGCCCGUCAAGCCAUGGGAGCCGGGGGGACCUGAAGUAUGCAACCGUAAGGAGCGUCCUAGGGUAAAACCGGUAACUGGGGCU
rnacentral:rRNA from 1 species